rnacentral:rRNA from 1 species
AACGCUUAACACAUGCAAGUUCUUUCGGCGAAAUCGUGCCUGCACAGGCUAGCCAAGGCGGACGGGCGAGUAACGCGUAAAGAGCUUGCCCUGCAGAACAGGGAUAACAGACGGAAACGACUGACAACACCUGAUACAGUUGCCGGCACGCAUGUGCCUGGCAAUGAAAAGAGAUGCUGCGGGAGAGCUUUGCGUCCUAUUAGCUUGUUGGCGGGGUAACGGCCCACCAAGGCGAUGAUAGGUAGCCGGCCUGAGAGGGUGAACGGCCACAAGGGGACUGAGAUACGGCCCUUACUCCUACGGGAGGCAGCAGUGGGGAAUAUUGGACAAUGGGGGCAACCCUGAUCCAGCAAUUCUGUGUGCACGAUGAAGGUUUUCGGAUUGUAAAGUGCUUUCAGCAGGGAAGAAGGAAGUGACGGUACCUGCAGAAGAAGCGACGGCUAAAUACGUGCCAGCAGCCGCGGUAAUACGUAUGUCGCAAGCGUUAUCCGGAAUUAUUGGGCAUAAAGGGCAUCUAGGCGGCCAGACAAGUCUGGGGUGAAAACUUGCGGCUCAACCGCAAGCCUGCCCUGGAAACUGCCUGGCUAGAGUGCUGGAGAGGUGGACGGAACUGCACGAGUAGAGGUGAAAUUCGUAGAUAUGUGCAGGAAUGCCGAUGAUGAAGAUAGUUCACUGGACGGCAACUGACGCUGAAGUGCGAAAGCUGGGGGAGCGAACAGGAUUAGAUACCCUGGUAGUCCCAGCCGUAAACGAUGAUUACUGGGUGUGGGCAUGAAGAGGUGUCCGUGCCGAAGCAAAAUGCGAUAAGUAAUCCGCCUGGGGGAGUACGGCCGCAAAGGCUGAAACUUCAAAAGGAAUUGACGGGGACCCGCACAAGCGGUGGAGCAUGUGGUUUAAUUUCGACGCAAACGCGAGGAACCUUACCAGAUCUUGACAUCCCACGUAUGCCCUGCGAGAGCGGGCUAGUGCUCUUCGGGAAACGUGGAGACUAGGUGGUGCAUGGCUGUCGACGAGCUCGUGUCGUGAGAUGUUGGGUUAAGUUCCCGCAACGAGCGCGAACUCCCUAUCGCCGGUUGCCAUUCGAUUAAGUUGGGGACUCUGGCGAGACUGCCUGCGAAGAGCGGGAGAAAGGUGGGGAUGAACGUCGAAGUCGUCGUGCCCCUUAUGAGUUCUGGGCUACGCGCGUGCUACGAAUGGCCGGU